GCCGUAAGGCGCGUACGGGCCUAACGGGCAACGACGGACUUAGUUUCGACGCUCGUUAGGCCCGUACGCGCCUUACGGACGACGUCGACUAAAUAAUAUUUUUUUUAUUAUUUAGUCGACGUCGUCCGUAAGGCGCGUACGGGCCUAACGAGCGUCGAAACUAAGCCCGUCGUUAAAAUUUUAACGACGGGUUUAGUUUCGACGCUCGUUAGGCCCGUACGCGCCUUACGGACGACGUCGACUAAAUAAUAUUUUUUUUAUUAUUUAGUCGACGUCGUCCGUAAGGCGCGUACGGGCCUAACGGGCAACGACGGACUUAGUUUCGACGCUCGUUAGGCCCGUACGCGCCUUACGGACGACGUCGACUAAAUAAUAUUUUUUUUAUUAUUUAGUCGACGUCGUCCGUAAGGCGCGUACGGGCCUAACGAGCGUCGAAACUAAGCCCGUCGUUAAAAUUUUAACGACGGGUUUAGUUUCGACGCUCGUUAGGCCCGUACGCGCCUUACGGACGACGUCGACUAAAUAAUAUUUUUUUUAUUAUUUAGUCGACGUCGUCCGUAAGGCGCGUACGGGCCUAACGGGCAACGACGGACUUAGUUUCGACGCUCGUUAGGCCCGUACGCGCCUUACGGACGACGUCGACAAAAUAAUAUUUUUUUUAUUAUUUAGUCGACGUCGUCCGUAAGGCGCGUACGGGCCUAACGAGCGUCGAAACUAAGCCCGUCGUUAAAAUUUUAACGACGGGUUUAGUUUCGACGCUCGUUAGGCCCGUACGCGCCUUACGGACGACGUCGACUAAAUAAUAUUUUUUUUAUUAUUUAGUCGACGUCGUCCGUAAGGCGCGUACGGGCCUAACGGGCAACGACGGACUUAGUUUCGACGCUCGUUAGGCCCGUACGCGCCUUACGGACGACGUCGACUAAAUAAUAUUUUUUUUAUUAUUUAGUCGACGUCGUCCGUAAGGCGCGUACGGGCCUAACGAGCGUCGAAACUAAGUCCGUCGUUGCCCGUAAGGCCCGACGUCG
rnacentral:lncRNA from 1 species